GAAUUUUAGUGUUCCUCAGGAAAUGGGUGAGUGGAAUGGCAAACAGAAGUGCUAGCCCAUAUACGAUAAGAACUCCAAAAGCCUGAAAUGUUUUUCUAAAUUAUCAGUGCCAACAACUGGGUCUUUCCUCUUCCAUUUCUGAAGCUCCUCCUGCAUCUUAUCAAUUUUGGCUGGAUUCAGAGCCCACAAACAGCCUUUCCGAGAAGAAUUGCCUGACUUGUUCUCAACUUUCUCAAAGCAUUUGUUCAAAGAUAAGUUGUGGCGUACAGAAUUCUUCCAGCCAUCUGGAGCUGUCUGGAAAAACAAAUCCAGUCUAAGAAUGGCACUUCAAGGAAAAAAAAAUACGAAUAUAUUUCUUUGUUUUGACUGAACUUUGAAAAUUAAUAUUGCUGUAGAGGAUGAAGAGGGAAAUACCCAGCAAAACAGUCAUGCUCAGAUUCUGAUGGGAUAUGCCUGUUUGCUUGCCAGUCUGAAAUACUGAUCUUGAAGAAAUGGCACUUGCUUCAGAUUUGUUUCGGUGGAUUAUGACCAGUCAUGUUGUGAUGGGAUACUUCCUGAAUUAUGAUGAGUGCAUGCAACUGAUGGAGUUGCCUAAGACGGAUAUCCCAGCUCCAGAACAGAGCAAGAUAACCUUGAACCUCUGCUUCCACUUGAGUCUGGAGGUGCUAUUGAUGUCAGAGGAAGCCACAAGACCAGUUCUGCCUGUAUUUGAGAUCUGAGAGGAAGGAAUGGAUGUGUUUUUAAAAAUAUUUAUCCUUUUUAUGAGUUCUUAGUGAGGAAUGGCCACUGUUAGCUGCACCAACUCAAAGUUGGAACAGUUCUUAAUAUCUUUUUUGUGUUAAAUAUUACCACAUAUCAUGUUCACAUUUCUGCCUAGGCCUAAAAUGCUGGGUAGUUUGUGAUCAUGAAGGUAUAUAGCGUUUAAUUGAUUUGAUAUUAAUCUACUAAGAAAUUAUCCUUUUUCAUAGAUUGAAUCCCCUCCCUUAUUCCCUCUGAUGCCAGGUAAGCUUAGAGAGAGAUUCCCCCCCUCCCUGUGGAACUCACCUUAAAGUAAGGAAAGUGUUCCGUCAUGAAAUUGUAGAUCUCACUGACUGGCAAACUCCCUGUCUUGCUGUUUUUGAGUGCCAUGAAGAUCAGGAUGCUGUAGGGAGAGAAAGAAAAGUAUUUUAGCCUGUUCUGCUUCACUCCUCAGAAGCAGAAAGAAAGACUAUUUUUCACAGUGCAUGUAAUUACUCUGGCUUUCACUGUCAUAGCAUGAAUACCAAUGAUGCUUAAAGUUUCCACUCAGUUGUUAAUAAGCAAGCUCCUUACACUGCUUAACUUCUAGAGGUAGUUCUCAAAGCGCAUAUAGAAGGUCCAACCUGGGUUUAAAAUAAAGUAAUAGAAAGUGGAAUCAAGACCACAGCCUUCAAAUCCUGCUAGUGUGUAUUUAUUUAAGGUUGUGUUUGAAUGCUUAGACUGAUAAAGGCCACAAAGAGAAUACCAAACUGACAGUGACAGAAGGUAUAAUUAAAAUUUAAUUGUCCGAUCUACUUUGUUAGACUGCUAUUUGGGGGCUAAACCUGUGUGGUGACUGGCAUAUCUGAUAUGUUUUCUAGGCAUUUCCUUGCCCUAGUAACUGGAGAAAAAAUUAGUUUUAAUACAGGUCCUGGAAAGACAACUAAGUGUGAUUAGUCUUGUGCUGAUGAAAUUUGCAACACCUAAGAUUUUGUAUUAGAGAAAUGUCUAGCUUUUGUGGGGGUGAUCAAGACUGUUCACAUGCUUUACAACAUUUCAUUUCCCUCUGCCUUGGCCCCAGAGUCUGGAACAUCUUGUGAUUCAUACAAACAGGACAGAGCACACUCAGAACAAGAUAAAUAAGAGUAAGCAUGUUAUUGCAAAUGAUGCUGGAAAUAGGCCAUGGGUAAACAGUGUAUUUCCUGUAACAUUAGGACUUGAAAAAAUAUUUUAUUACCUGUAGGAGUAGAUGGGUUUGGGAAAUAGAGGCUGCUGGGAUUCUUGACUGCUUUGAGGAGCAAUUCUUUGGUAAGGGUAGUGUGAAGAAGUAAUAUAAGUCACAGGAUAACUGCCUCCUGAGGGAUACUGAUGAUAGAAUAAAAGACAUGUUACUUGACUUAGCAACAAGCUCUCAAAAAUAUUUCUUUCUUAGUAACAGUAUUAA